rnacentral:piRNA from 1 species
CACUGGGUCAGAUUCAUACAUGC